rnacentral:rRNA from 1 species
UUCAGGUUUGGGACACCAUUGGAAACGGUGGCUAAUACCGAAUGUGCCGAGAGGUGAAAGGCUUGCUGCCUGAAGAAGAGCUUGCGUCUGAUUAGCUAGUUGGUGGGGUAAGAGCCUACCAAGGCGACGAUCAGUAGCUGGUCUGAGAGGAUGAUCAGCCACACUGGGACUGAGACACGGCCCAGACUCCUACGGGAGGCAGCAGUGGGGAAUUUUCCGCAAUGGGCGAAAGCCUGACGGAGCAAUACCGCGUGAGGGAGGAAGGCUCUUGGGUUGUAAACCUCUUUUCUCAGGGAAGAAAAAAAUGACGGUACCUGAGGAAUAAGCAUCGGCUAACUCCGUGCCAGCAGCCGCGGUAAUACGGAGGAUGCAAGCGUUAUCCGGAAUGAUUGGGCGUAAAGGGUCCGCAGGUGGUAGUGUAAGUCUGCUGUUAAAGAGUCACGCUCAACGUGAUCAAAGCAGUGGAAACUACACAACUAGAGUACGGUAGGGGCAGAAGGAAUUCCUGGUGUAGCGGUGAAAUGCGUAGAUAUCAGGAAGAACACCGGUGGCGAAAGCGUUCUGCUAGACCUGUACUGACACUGAGGGACGAAAGCUAGGGGAGCG